AUUGAACGCUGGCGGCAGGCCUAACACAUGCAAGUCGAACGGUAGCACAGAGAGCUUGCUCUCGGGUGACGAGUGGCGGACGGGUGAGUAAUGUCUGGGAAACUGCCCGAUGGAGGGGGAUAACUACUGGAAACGGUAGCUAAUACCGCAUAACGUCGCAAGACCAAAGUGGGUGACCUUCGGGCCUCACACCAUCGGAUGUGCCCAGAUGGGAUUAGCUAGUAGGUGGGGUAAUGGCUCACCUAGGCGACGAUCCCUAGCUGGUCUGAGAGGAUGACCAGCCACACUGGAACUGAGACACGGUCCAGACUCCUACGGGAGGCAGCAGUGGGGAAUAUUGCACAAUGGGCGCAAGCCUGAUGCAGCCAUGCCGCGUGUAUGAAGAGGGCCUUCGGGUUGUAAAGUACUUUCAGCGGGGAGGAAGGCGGUGAAGUUAAUAACUUCACCGAUUGACGUUACCCGCAGAAGAAGCACCGGCUAACUCCGUGCCAGCAGCCGCGGUAA
rnacentral:rRNA from 1 species